rnacentral:rRNA from 1 species
CGGAGGGUGCAAGCGUUAUCCGGAUUUACUGGGUUUAAAGGGUGCGUAGGUGGAUAAUUAAGUCAGUGGUGAAAUCUUCAGGCUUAACCUGGAAACUGCCAUUGAUACUAUUUGUCUUGAAUACUUUGGAGGUAAGCGGAAUAUGUCAUGUAGCGGUGAAAUGCUUAGAUAUGACAUAGAACACCAAUUGCGAAGGCAGCUUACUACACAGUAAUUGACACUGAGGCACGAAAGCGUGGGGAUCAAACAGGAUUAGAUACCCUGGUAGUCCACGCCCUAAACGAUGGAUACUCGACAUUAGCGAUAUACAGUUAGUGUCUGAGCGAAAGCAUUAAGUAUCCCACCUGGGAAGUACGAUCGCAAGAUUG